rnacentral:misc_RNA from 1 species
GUGAAUCAUCAAAUCUUUGAACGCAAAUUGCACUCUCCUCGGAGAGUAUGCCUGUUUGAGUGUCAGCCUAUAAAAAAUUGACAUCGUUGCUGUUUCGCGGUGGCGUUCGUCGGAAAUUGGGUUACCUUAAAUCCUUUUGUGUUUUAAGCGACUUAAAAUUUUCUUUUUGGUUCCAUGUACGUUUCUAAGAUUUAUUUCUUUACACGUUUAAGGUAUCGAUUUUUAUUAGAUGGGACCAUCAUAACGGAUCGCGUUC